AUGGGAACUUAUCUCCAUAGCUAUGCUAACCUAAAGUAGUGGUGGUAAACGAAUCCCAAAGAUUGAUUAGUUCCUUCAUGGGGCUAUACGUUUUGCAGAAGUCUUUGCCUAGAUAAUGGGUUCUGUACUUUUGAUAAAACGGGACAUUC
rnacentral:snoRNA from 2 species